GGCUUUGUAGUGUAGAAUUAACAUGUUAGAUUGCAAAUCUAGCGACGUGGCGAAAGCUACCAUGGCUU
rnacentral:tRNA from 1 species